AAACCAACAGGGAUUGCCCCAGUAACGGCGAGUGAAGCGGCAAGAGCUCAAAUUUGAAAGCUGGCUCCUUCGGGGUCCGCAUUGUAAUUUGCAGAGGAUGCUUCGGGAGCGGUCCCCAUCUAAGUGCCCUGGAACGGGACGUCAUAGAGGGUGAGAAUCCCGUAUGGGAUGGGGUGUCCGCGCCCGUGUGAAGCUCCUUCGACGAGUCGAGUUGUUUGGGAAUGCAGCUCUAAAUGGGUGGUAAAUUUCAUCUAAAGCUAAAUAUUGGCCGGAGACCGAUAGCGCACAAGUAGAGUGAUCGAAAGAUGAAAAGCACUUUGAAAAGAGAGUUAAAAAGCACGUGAAAUUGUUGAAAGGGAAGCGCUUGCGACCAGACUCGCUCGCGGGGUUCAGCCGGCAUUCGUGCCGGUGUAUUUCCCCGCGGGCGGGCCAGCGUCGGUUUGGGCGGUCGGUCAAAGGCCCUCGGAAGGUAACGCCCCUAGGGGCGUCCUAUAGCCGAGGGUGCAAUGCGACCUGCCUAGACCGAGGAACGCGCUUCGGCUCGGACGCUGGCAUAAUGGUCGUAAGCGAC
rnacentral:rRNA from 1 species